rnacentral:rRNA from 1 species
AGCGAACGCUGGCGGCAGGCCUAACACAUGCAAGUCGAACGAACCUUUCGGGGUUAGUGGCGGACGGGUGAGUAACACGUGGGAACGUGCCUUUAGGUUCGGAAUAACUCAGGGAAACUUGUGCUAAUACCGAAUGUGCCCUUCGGGGGAAAGAUUUAUCGCCUUUAGAGCGGCCCGCGUCUGGUUAGCUAGUUGGUUGAGGUAAUGGCUCACCAAGGCGACGAUCAGUAGCUGGUCUGAGAGGAUGAUCAGCCACAUUGGGACUGAGACACGGCCCAAACUCCUACGGGAGGCAGCAGUGGGGAAUCUUGCGCAAUGGGCGAAAGCCUGACGCAGCCAUGCCGCGUGAAUGAUGAAGGUCUUAGGAUUGUAAAAUUCUUUCACCGGGGACGAUAAUGACGGUACCCGGAGAAGAAGCCCCGGCUAACUUCGUG